GCUACGGGAGGCAGCAGUGAGGAAUAGUGGGCAAUGGACGCAAGUCUGAACCAGCAAUGCCGCGUGCAGGAAGAAGGCGCGAUGAGUUGUAAACUGCGUUUGUACGAGGGUAAACGCAGAUACGCGUAUCUGUCUGAAAGUAUCGUACGAAUAAGGAUCGGCUAACUCCGUGCCAGCAGCCGCGGUAAUACGGAGGAUUCAAGCGUUAUCCGGAUUUAUUGGGUUUAAAGGGUGCGUAGGCGGUCGGUUAAGUUAGAGGGGAAAUCCCGAGGCUCAACUUAGGAAUUCCCUCUGAUACUGUUCGGCUCGAUGGUAGUUGCGGUCGGCGGACUGUCUGGUGUAGCGGUGACCUGCUUAGAGAUCCUACAGAACACCGAUUGCGAAGGCAGCUUACCAAGCUACUUCUGACGUUGAGGCAC
rnacentral:rRNA from 1 species